rnacentral:rRNA from 2 species
GUGGGUAGGUAACGCUCACCAAGGCCAGGAUGGUAGCCGACUGGAAGGGGGAUCGCCCCACUUGGGAUUGAACACCGCCCCAGAUUCUUACGGGAGGCAGCAGUAGGGAUCUUCCGCAAUGGACGAAAGUCUGACGGAGCAACGCCGCGUGAGUGAUGAAGGUUUUCGGAUCGUAAAACUCUGUUGUUAGGGAAGAACAAGUAUCGGAGUAACUGCCGGUACCUUGACGGUACCUAACCAGAAAGCCACGGCUAACUACGUGCCAGCAGCCGCGGUAAUACGUAGGUGGCAAGCGUUGUCCGGAAUUAUUGGGCGUAAAGCGCGCGCAGGUGGUUCCUUAAGUCUGAUGUGAAAGCCCACGGCUCAACCGUGGAGGGUCAUUGGAAACUGGGGAACUUGAGUGCAGAAGAGGAAAGUGGAAUUCCAAGUGUAGCGGUGAAAUGCGUAGAGAUUUGGAGGAACACCAGUGGCGAAGGCGACUUUCUGGUCUGUAACUGACACUGAGGCGCGAAAGCGUGGGGAGCGAACAGGAUUAGAUACCCUGGUAGUCCACGCCGUAAACGAUGAGUGCUAAGUGUUAGAGGGUUUCCGCCCUUUAGUGCUGCAGCAAACGCAUUAAGCACUCCGCCUGGGGAGUACGACCGCAAGGUUGAAACUCAAAGGAAUUGACGGGGGCCCGCACAAGCGGUGGAGCAUGUGGUUUAAUUCGAAGCAACGCGAAGAACCUUACCAGGUCUUGACAUCCUCUGACAAUCCUAGAGAUAGGACGUUCCCCUUCGGGGGACAGAGUGACAGGUGGUGCAUGGUUGUCGUCAGCUCGUGUCGUGAGAUGUUGGGUUAAGUCCCGCAACGAGCGCAACCCUUGAUCUUAGUUGCCAGCAUUCAGUUGGGCACUCUAAGGUGACUGCCGGUGACAAACCGGAGGAAGGUGGGGAUGACGUCAAAUCAUCAUGCCCCUUAUGACCUGGGCUACACACGUGCUACAAUGGAUGGUACAAAGGGCUGCAAGACCGCGAGGUUUAGCCAAUCCCAUAAAACCAUUCUCCGUUCGGAUCGCAGGCUGCAACUCGCCUGCAUGAAGAGAGAAUGACCCGUAAUCGCGGAUCAGCAUGCCGCGGUGAAUACGUUCCCGGGCCUUGUACACACCGCCCGUCA